AUUGAACGCUGGCGGCAUGCUUUACACAUGCAAGUCGAACGGCAGCGCGGGCUUCGGCCUGGCGGCGUGUUGCCAACGGGUGAGUAAUUCAUCGGAACGUGCCCAGUAUUUGGGGAUAGCUCGGCUAAAGCCGGCUUAAUCCCGCAUACGACCUUAGUUUGAAAGCGGGGGAUCUUCGGACCUCGCGCUUUUGGCGCGGCCGAUGGCAGAUUAGCUAGUUGGUGGGGUAAAGGCCUACCAAGGCGACGAUCUGUAGCUGGUCUGAGAGGACGACCAGCCACACUGGGACUGAGACACGGCCCAGACUCCUACGGGAGGCAGCAGUGGGGAAUUUUGGACAAUGGGCGAAAGCCUGAUCCAGCAAUGCCGCGUGUGUGAUGAAGGCCUUCGGGUUGUAAAGCACUUUUGGCGGGAACGAAAAGGACUGUGCCAAUACCACGGUUCGAUGACGGUACCAGAAGAAUAAGCACCGGCUAACUACGUG
rnacentral:rRNA from 1 species